AAAAUAGCCGGCGGAGAACCUCCAGGAGAUAGCUCAGCGGCCUGCCCUUCAACCCAGGCAGCCUGAGGACAUCACCAAGGAGGAUUGGCAGCGAAGACCAAGGGCUAACGAAGGGCACCCGGGCUUGGUGGAGAUUCCUGCACACGCUGGUGGAGACCGACUCCUGGGGAGGGGGAGUGCUGUCAGCUAUGGAGAGGGCCAGAACAACUGAUCUACAUGGGCAGUCUGCCUCCCCCAGGAACGGCUCAGCCGAGAAGGAAGCAGUAGAGAGUCACAUGA